CAACCCACCAGCAUAUAAUACAGUCAGUUUCACAUUUUCGGCCUAUCUGAAGAAAAUGAAACAAGCACAUCCUAAUGCUACCUUAGAAGAGAUAGAGCAAAAUCUUCUUCAUAUAUUUGCUCCCGAUACUACUGCACCAACAACAUCAGAAGAAACUGUCCAAUCAGGCAAUCCCUUACUUGACGACUUUAGCCAAAGACCCGAUGCUUAACACGGCCCGACAGUUUGGCCCGAUAUAAUCUCCAGAUAGAUAUCUCCACUAUUCGCUGAUAUGACCUCACCAUUAUAAAGCAAGAUGCCUCGACAAGAAAGAUUCCCUUCUUCAUAAAGUGACAAGACAUCUCAAUAGUAAAGAUUUCUUCUUUAUAAAGUGACAAGACAUCUCCAAAUAGUUAAGAUGCUCUUUUAUCCCAUUUGAUCGAUGUGACUAAUCUUGGGUCAAAUCAUAGUCACGCUUCUAUCGACGUGGCCUCUUCUCCUUCUUCGUUGCUGACACGUACCGCCAUUAUUACGACAACAAAAGAUUCGCCAUCGCAUCCAUCACCAUCCUCAACGACUGGCUACUCCCUGCACCUGCCACGUAUCCUUCUUCAUACGACAACCUUAUCCCCUGGUUCCUUCGUCGCUACGCUAACGAACCUCAGCUACAAGCUUUCCUUCACCUUAUCCUCAGGUUCCUUCGUCAUUACGCUAUGAUCUCACAGCCACAAGUUUUCCUUCGCCAUUCUCUAUAAAUACCCAAUCGCUCCGUCGAAGACAGCAGACUUCAUCAAGGACGCAACAUAGCAGCAGCAGAAAUUCUCA
rnacentral:lncRNA from 1 species